rnacentral:rRNA from 1 species
AUCUACAGCCAUAACACCCUGAAUGCACCCAAUCUCAUCUGACCUCAGAAGCUAAGCAGGGUCAGGCCUGGUUAGUACUUGGAUUGGAGAUAACAUUGCUACAAUGUAUAAGCAUUGAGAAUG